rnacentral:rRNA from 1 species
AGAGUUUGAUCCUGGCUCAGGAUGAACGCUGGCGGCGUGCCUAACACAUGCAAGUCGAACGAGAAUCAGUGGAACAAGGAUUCGUCUGAGGGAAGCUGAGGAAAGUGGCGGACGGGUGAGUAACGCGUGAGCAAUCUGCCUUGGAGUGGGGAAUAACGGCUGGAAACAGCCGCUAAUACCGCAUGAUGCAUCUGAGUCGCAUGGUUUGGAUGCCAAAGAUUUAUCGCUCUGAGAUGAGCUCGCGUCUGAUUAGCUAGUUGGCGGGGUAAUGGCCCACCAAGGCGACGAUCAGUAGCCGGACUGAGAGGUUGGCCGGCCACAUUGGGACUGAGACACGGCCCAGACUCCUACGGGAGGCAGCAGUGGGGAAUAUUGGGCAAUGGGCGCAAGCCUGACCCAGCAACGCCGCGUGAAGGAAGAAGGCUUUCGGGUUGUAAACUUCUUUUAUUCGGGACGAAGAAAGUGACGGUACCGAAUGAAUAAGCCACGGCUAACUACGUGCCAGCAGCCGCGGUAAUACGUAGGUGGCAAGCGUUAUCCGGAUUUAUUGGGUGUAAAGGGCGUGUAGGCGGGAAUGCAAGUCAGAUGUGAAAACUCAGGGCUCAACCCGGAGCCUGCAUUUGAAACUGUAUUUCUUGAGUGCUGGAGAGGCAAUCGGAAUUCCGUGUGUAGCGGUGAACAGCGUCGACAUACGACGAGCACCAGCGUCGAAGGUGGAUUCUGGUCACUAUCCACGCGGAGGCGCGAAAGCGUGGCCAGCACACAAGAUAUACAUACUCUAAUGCUGCCUCCGGUAAGAGACGAGAGC